GAUGAACGCUGGCGGUAUGCUUAACACAUGCAAGUCGAACGGUACCUUCGGGUAUAGUGGCGGACGGGUGAGUAACGCGUGAGAAUCUAUCUUCAGGUCGGGGACAACAGUUAGAAAUGACUGCUAAUACCGGAUGUGCCGAAAGGUAAAAGAUUUAUUGCCUGAAAAAGAGCUCGCGUCAGAUUAGCUAGUAGGUGGUGUAAGAGACUACCUAGGCUUCGAUCUGUAGCUGGUCUGAGAGGACGAUCAGCCACACUGGAACUGAGACACGGUCCAGACUACGAGGGGGGGACGGAGUGGGAAUUGUCCGAAAAUGGGGGAAAGCCGGACGGACCAAACCCGGGGGGGGGCCGAAUGUAUUUGGGCCUUAACCCUUUUUUCUCAAGAAAGGUACAAUCUGUAAUGGAGGAAUAUGCUUCGGCUACCUCUGUGCAAGCGGCCGGGUUAAUAAUAAGAAGGGACACGGCCUGAAC
rnacentral:rRNA from 1 species